rnacentral:lncRNA from 1 species
GCUGGGACUCAGCACUGCUUACUCCAGUUCAAAGCCACCUCUACUAGCAGUUAUCCUUCAGAGAAUCACAGUGAAGAAAACAGCAUAUCUCACAACAGCUCCUAACAACAGAGCCUGUGGGAGUCAUUCACCACUCAACAGCAACAGCAAGCAAGAGGACUUGAAAGAUUUUAUAAUGGAAGGAAACAGUUCUUUCAGUCUUAUCUUUGGCCAGUGAACAACAACGACCUAUAUUUAUGGCCUAUUUAUGGCCUAUUAACAUCUGCAAACAAGAAAAUUCAUGAUAUCAAGAAUUUUUAUGAGCUGCAUAUUUAUUCAA